AUACGUAUGGUGCAAGCGUUAUCCGGAUUUACUGGGUGUAAAGGGAGCGUAGGUGGUUUGGUAAGUCAGAUGUGAAAACCCGGGGCUCAACCCCGGGAGUGCAUUUGAAACUACCAGACUAGAGUGCAGGAGAGGUAAGUGGAAUUCCUAGUGUAGCGGUGAAAUGCGUAGAUAUUAGGAGGAACACCAGUGGCGAAGGCGGCUUACUGGACUGUAACUGGCACUGAAGUUCGAAAGCUUGGGGAGAAAACAGGAUUAUAUACCCGGGUAGUCCACGCCGUAAACGAUGAAUACUAGGUGUCGGGAGGCUAUUGCCUUUCGGUGCCGCAGCUAACGCAUUAAGUAUUCCACCUGGGGAGUACGUUCGCAAGAAUGAAACUCAAAUGAAUUGACGGGG
rnacentral:rRNA from 1 species